CACGUAGGCGGAUCCUUAAGUCAGGGGUGAAAUCCUGGAGCUCAACUCCAGAACUGCCUUUGAUACUGGGGAUCUCGAGUUCGGGAGAGGUGAGUGGAACUGCGAGUGUAGAGGUGAAAUUCGUAGAUAUUCGUAAGAACACCAGUGGCGAAGGCGGCUCACUGGCCCGAUACUGACGCUGAGGUGCGAAAGGGUGGGGAGCAAACAGGAUUAGAUACCCUGGUAGUCCACGCCGUAAACGAUGGAUGCUAGCCGUUGGUGGGUUUACCCUUCAGUGGCGCAGCUAACGCUUUAAGCAUCCCGCCUGGGGAGUACGGUCGCAAGAUUAAA
rnacentral:rRNA from 1 species